CCAUUGAGAGCACAUACUAGCUGCCUGUGAGCCUCCUCACACUCAACACGACACUUCUUCUGCAGAGACUUCAGCAGCUCCUCCAUUGUCAUUGUACUGAAUAAUGCAGAAAGUAAAUUGGGAAUCACAUACAAGACAUAGAGGCCUGUUCUGGGAAUCAGCAUAUUCCUCACCUCUUUUGGAAGGGCAGAAACUCCCCUCUGACAGCCUGAGGAUGGCAGCAAGCCUGUCGCAGACGCAGGAGCGGGUACAGGAUGGUGUUGACUGUGCGUCGGUCCAGGCUGCCCAACUUCAGUGACCAGUCAGAGAUCUUUCUCAGUUUCACCAGGGCAUCCUGAGAGCACACCUCAUGCUGGCGGUGGUAGAAGUGGCCCUCCACCGGAGAAAAGUGGAGCCAGUGGAUCUCUUCUGUCUGUGGGGGAAUCUGGAUCUGAAAUCAACACAAACGGUCAAAUGUUUUCAUUUGUAGCACACCUGUCCAGGAAACUGACUCAUAAGAUAUCACAAUUGUACAUUUGAGGAAAAUCAAUUCAAAAACAAUAAAUGAUCACAUGAAUCAAUAUA